UUCUCAAUUGAACUCUUUCUGCUAACUCCUAGUGUAGGACCCCCGAUAUGGGGACCCCCACUCUAAUCCAGGGAUAGGGUGCACCCACGAACACGCAAGAAUCU
rnacentral:pre_miRNA from 7 species